rnacentral:SRP_RNA from 1 species
GCCUGGUGCAAUGAUGCAAACUUAUAGUUUUAGCUACUUGAGGCAGGACAAUUACUUGAAGCAGGUGUUCUGGGCCAUAGUGCUCUAUGCUGAUUGGGUGUCCACACUAAUUUUGGCGUCAAUAUGGUGACAUCCCUUGAGAGGGGGAGCACCAAGUUGCCUAAGAAAAGGUAAUCUGGCCCAGGAAAGCAAGUCAAAGCGCCCGUGCUGAUCAGUAGUAGGGUAGUAACUGUGAAUAGACACUGAAUUCCAGUCUGGGCAACAUAGCAAGAGUUUGU